AAUUGACUUGUGGACUAUGGAAACUAAAUGGACCCAAAAUCAGCAAUCUGGUGAUCCAGGGAAGCUGAUGAUUUGGUUCCAGUUCAAGUCCAGAGCCUUGAGAACCAGACCAUGCAUUUCAAUGGAAAUAUGGAGAAAAAAGUGCAUCCUGUGGUUCAGUGAUACUUAUGUAAUUACUGGAGGAACAGAUGGCCAAUCCAUAGUACACAGAUUCCACAAAAAUUUAGAAGCAAUGUGUCCAUACACACAGCUGAUGACAAGGUAAAAUGAAAUAGGCUUUUAAAAAUUAAUAUUCCCCUAUCAGUCAACCACAAAAAUAUUAUUCAAUUUGAUCCAGAUAAUUUAUUUCAAGAAAAUAAUUCAACAGAAGAGAAAGGACUAUUUUUAUGAAGAUAUAUAUUGCAGAAAUAUCUACAACAGUAAAAAUUUGGAAGCAAAUUAAAUGUUUAAUGGCAAAUAAUAAUAUAAAAUGAAAAUUCUCUAUAUUGAUUCUAAGUAAUAUUAGCAAUUCUUCAUAAUAUUUACAAAUAUCUUUAAAAAUUUGAGCAAAAGGUAAAGAUGUUUUUAUCUCACAGAUAAAAUAGUUUGCAAUAAAUCAUCAGUUCUAUCUUUACAACUGUGUGAAAAGUAAGUAUGAAAAUGACUGAGAAAGAUCAAACAAAACUGAAAAUAAUUGUAUUGGGGGUGCGAUGCUCAUUUUUUAAUCUUUAAAAAAAUAAAUAUUUUCAUAAUAUGUUAAAAAUGAACACCAGAAACUUAUUCUGCAUGUGGUAAAGAUCCAAGAUGGCAUCUUGCAACGGACAAAUAAAAAAAUCUUUCAUACUUUUAGAAUUCAGGUAAUCUUAGAGAAAUAAAUAGUUCUGUUCCUUGGUAUUUUAUCUCCUUUAUUUUCUAUUGUGAUAGGCAUUUACAAGUAUACUGAAUUUCUCUUGCUUAUGAAUUCAAUUGCUGCUGCUUUUCAAUAAACUGCCUUAAUCCUUUGUUUGGCUAUCAUAGUUACUACCACAGGAAUUAUUAUGCUGCCAACUGGGAACUCAAGAGCUAAAAUGAAGAAUUUUUAAAUGUCAGUACAUUUCUGCCUUUUCUGGAUAUUACCAAAUGUAUAUAUUUUUGUCCUAUUAAACUCUGACCUUGUUUACUAAUCAUUAUAUCUGCUAGCAAUGAAGAGGGAAAAUGCUGGCUUCGCUGGGGGUAGAUUUCUAUUGUUUUCUUUAUACUUAUGUUAGAUUUUUGUCUGGUUGUUUAAUUUUUCAGCUUUUUAGAUUCUAAGCUUCAAUCACUCAGAAUAAUUUCCCAAUCAAUGUUGGAUGGGAUAGAAAGAAGUUUAUAUUUGCUACUUUCAUAUUGUUAUUAUUUUACUAUAGUUAUAUAAAAUGACUAAAAUUAUUAAUGAUUGACUUUAAAGUUGAAAGAGAAUACCUAUAUAUCUCAAGGAUAGAUCUUUGUUAGUGUUAAACAUUUAUAAAGUAACUGUUACAGAUGUCUCCUAUUUGCACUCUGUGUACGGCACAUCUGACCUUCUAGAGCUCCUUGCCAGCCAUCUGCUACAAAUUUAAAGGUGUAAUUCCAAAACUGUUUUCCUUAAGACUCAGAAUCUAAGGAACCCUAUUUUAAAAUUUCCUUAAAAUAAAAAGAAAAAAGAGAAAGCAAUGGUCUUUAUUUUUUAUUUUAGUCUAUUCAGACUUUAUUUGAGAUAAAAAUCAUUGUAGUCCUCUUGGGAUAAGAACAGAUGGAUGUCUCAAACAGGACUGUAUCACACAAAGUCAGACUUUGCCUGGGGCAGGUUGGGGAGGAGCAUUCUUUAUUGGCAACCAUCUGGGUUCUGACUAAGUGAAAUAUGAUAACGAAAAAUAUUUCCUUGUAGUCCCUAUGGAGGUUUGGCUAAGAGCACCAGUGAUGAUUCACCAAGACAAUUCACAGAAGGUAACUGUAUAUGAGUUUAUACAGUCACACACCACACACUGACAUUUUGCUCAAUGAUGUGACAGUGACCCAUAGAUUACAUCACCUACUUACAUCUUAAAGUUGACUCUCUGUUGUCUACACAGUGAAGAAAUCACCUACUGAUGCAUUCUCUCAGAAAAUAUCUCCAUCAUUGAAUGACACAUGACUAUGUAGACGUAUGUAUUUGCAUAUUUGGGUAUAUGUGUAUACAUAUGCAAAAGCAUAUGUGUUUUAUGUUUAUAUUUAUAGAGGUAUAUGUGCAUGUACAUAUACAUAUGUAUAUGGAUUCAUAUGUAUGUGUGUGAAUAAAAUUAAGUUCACUUUCAAAGUUCAUUUUUGGUUCAUAUUAUUUCUCAUACCUCAAGAUUAUCGACAUAAUUUAACAAAAGCCAAAGGUCAAAGUCAUCAUUUUUUUUUUUUUUUGGUACCAGGGAUCAAACUCGGGUCCUUGCGCUUGCGCAGCAGGCGGCGAAACCACUGAGCUAAAUCCCCGGCCCAAAGUCGUUAUUUUUAAAAUUAAAGAUGUAACUUCUAAAUUUGUGCAAGGGGUUUCAAAGACAAUGUAUUGAAUUUCAAGUUCCUGAAAUUUUAAAACUCAGAAAAGAGAGGUAAGAUCCUAGACAUUGAUCCUGUUUUCAGGUGCUGGUGAUGUGAAUAAGUGAGCAAGGCACCCACAGUCCACAUGUUUUCUGUAAAGCCCUUGAGUCAUAAGACUUACUACAGGCACUCGCUGUUUUCCCGCUCGCCCCCUCCCUCACUUCACAGAAUACAGAAACAGCUCCAUGUAGGUAAAUCUGUGAGCAAGACAGCACAGUCCAGACUUCCUGUGAGCUUUUUAUUGUAAACAGUGUGGAUUUUUCAAUGAACCAGACAUUAAUUUCCAGAAAGACCACAAGCAUGGAAAGGAAGGCUAGUCUGAAGUGCAAAUUUUAGGACCCCAAAUAUCUGCAGCGUCCUUUAAAUACUGCAGCACACAUUCCUGUUUUGGGGGCCUCUUCAAGAUCUAUUUGAAUGCAGUAGGAUCAAAAGAACCCUCCUGUUUUUGUAAAGUUAAGCCGAGGCUGGAAAUAAUCUUAUUUUAGCCCCUUUAGUUGAAUUCUGUACACUUCAUAGAAGCUUUUCUAAAACCUUCACACUCUGGGUUCAGCAUAACCUAGAGGUCACAACUCAGACACCAUUUAAUUUCCUUCUUGAAUGGUCUUGUUUUAUAUAAGGUGACCUUUUCAUGACUAUACAAUUUCCUCAUUAGGAAAUGACAGGAUCCCUGGGAUUAGAAACCUUUCUUGAUAACGCUCUGUAUAAAGGUGUCUAUGUAAGAUUUUUCUCAUUUAAAAUGAAAGGAAGCCUCUCCAUCCACUCUACUAACCAGAAUCAGAGCAUAGAGACAAGCUGCUUAGAUUUUGUUAGAAAAAACUUUGCUUAUUGGGGCAGCUGGUAGAGCUGAAGUCAGUUAGGGAUCUGGUUUUAAGGAGCUCAGAAUAAUUAUGGGGUAUUUUCAGAGCACCCAUUACUGGUUAGGCACUUGCUAUCUACCGUUUAGGACCCUCCACAGCUAGGCAGAGUGUAUAUCACAGUUAAGGAAACCUGGGUUCAAAAAGAUACAGAUGUUUGUCCAGGGUCAUCCAGCAAGUGAGUGACUGAGCUAUGGUUUCACCUAUACUUUUUGUGAAUUAAUUCUUUCCUUUGCAUUCUUCUACCUAACAGGACAAAUAAUUUCUCAAAAAAGGAAUGUGAAAUAGAUGUGCUGCACAUGCAUUAGUUUGUAUAUUGUUGCUUUGCUGAGGUUGGGUCUUGUGAGCUACAAAAUGUGAAUAAGAACAAUAAGAUUUUCCUUGCAGGAUUGCUCUGAGGAUUAAAUGACGGGAUGCUUGCAAAAUAUUCUCAGGUGAUCAAAACAAAGUAGCUGUAAGUUUUACCAAAAAGGCAUAGAAAUGUUGCUGUCUCUUCUGCUCCAUUUUACAGGGAAAACAUUGGAAGCAAAUUGACUUAUGACUUGCUGGAAACUUCGAAUUAUACUAUCAAAUAGAUGAAGAAGGCUGAUGUAUACAAUUUGCCAACAGUGGAGGGCAUUGCGACAAAACAUGCACCCUAUAGGAAAGGCUUCAUAGGGAACAAGCAUGUAUGAGUGGAGCAUGUGUAUGUGAAGGGAUUGAACUUGGGACCUUGCGCUUGUGAGUCAGUGCCUAUUUUUCUAUAUAAAUUUUACCAUUUAAAGUUAAUUUGUAAUUGUUAAAAUGUACAAAUAUAUUUAUGUAUGUAUUUCAUGGCUUUUUUUUGCUUACUUAACCAUGGGUUUUGAUAAACAAACAUUCCUAAUUUUAAUGUAGUCCAAUUCAUCAUUUUUCUUUAUUGUUAGUGUUUUUUGCAUCUGUUUUAAGAAAUCAUUAUGUACAUUAAGAUCAUAAAGUUAUCCUGCCAUUUUAUUCAAAAAUUCUUUUUAUUCUAGCUUUUAUAUUCAAAUUUGAAAGCCAUUUAGAAUUGUUUCUGACUAUGGAGUUUGGUAGAGGCCAAGAUUUAUUUUUUAAUCCCGUAUGUGUGGCCAGUUGACUCAGCACUAUUACUGCAAAGAGCACCCACUCCCCACUGAGCCUGAGUGACAAAUUUGCCAUGAGUGAAUGGGCUAUUCGUGUGGGAGAAUAUUUCUGAAUUUCCCUUUAUUUUCCUCUGGUUUAUUCAUCUGUCAUUGUACUGUUAGCAAAAUGUUUUAAUGACAUUGGCUUUCUAACAAAUCUCAUUAUGUUUUCCAAGCUAGCCUGGAGCAUCAGGCUCAGGUGAUCUUCCUGCCUCAGGCUUCCUCAGUAGGAUUCUGGUUUUUAUGUCAAUGAGAUAUUAUCAAAUAAAUGGAGUUUUUUUAUUCCUGAUUUGCAACAGGUAUCAUUGUGAUAAAUAUUGUAAAAAAUUUUUCAUGUUUUUAUUACAAUGAUCAUAUGAUUUUUCUCAUUAAUCCUGUUACGUCCUGGGUAAACUAAACUUGUUUGAAUGUAUUAUCAUUAUUAUAUGCUGUAGGAUUUGCUAAAUUAAAAAAACUUACAUCAACAUUCAUAAGUGAUAUUUAGUUGUAGCAUACUUUUUUUGUAAUAUCCUUGUAAGGGUUUGGUUUUUACCAUACUGCUAACCUCAUAAAAUAAAAUAAAUUUCCUCUUUCCUG
ensembl:lncRNA